rnacentral:rRNA from 1 species
GACGAACGCUGGCGGCGUGCCUAACACAUGCAAGUCGAGCGAAUGAAGUUCCUUCGGGCAUGGAUUUAGCGGCGGACGGGUGAGUAACACGUGGGCAACCUGCCUCAUAGAGGGGAAUAGCUUUCCGAAAGGGAGAUUAAUACCCCAUAAGAUUGUAGUAUCGCAUGAUACAGCAAUUAAAGGAGCAAUCCGCUAUGAGAUGGGCCCGCGGCGCAUUAGCUAGUUGGUGAGGUAACGGCUCACCAAGGCGACGAUGCGUAGCCGACCUGAGAGGGUGAGAGGCCACAUUGGGACUGAGACGCGGCCCAGACUCCUACGGGAGGGGGCAGUGGGGGAUAUUGCACAAUGGGGGAAACGCUGAUGCAGCAACGCCGGGUGAGUGAUGACGGCCUUCGGGUUGUAAAGCUCUGUCUUCAGGGACGAUAAUGACGGUACCUGAGGAGGAAGCCACGGCUAACUACGUG